UACGGAGGAUGCAAGUGUUAUCCGGAAUCACUGGGCGUAAAGCGUCUGUAGGUGGUUUGCUAAGUCUGUUGUUAAAGCUUGAAGCUCAACUUCAAAAAUGCAAUAGAAACUAGUAGACUUGAGUAUGGUAGGGGUAGAGGGAAUUUCCAGUGAAGUGGUGAAAUGCGUAGAUAUCGGGAAGAACACCCGUGGCGAAGGCGGCUCUCUGGGACGGUACUGACGCUGAGACGCGAAAGCGUGGGGAGCGAACAGG
rnacentral:rRNA from 1 species